UACAGAGGGGGCAAGCGUUGUCCGGAUUUACUGGGCGUACAGCGCGCGCAGGCGGUUGCGUAUGUGAGCGGUGUCAUCCGCGGGCUCAACCCGCGGCGGCCCGCUUACACAGCGCGACUGGAGGCAGGGAGAGGGAUGUGGAAUACCCGGUGGAGCGGUGAAAUGCGUAGAGAUCGGGUGGAACACCAGCGGCGAAGGCGGCAUCCUGGCCCUGUACUGACGCUGAGGCGCGAUAGCGUGGGGAGCAAACGGG
rnacentral:rRNA from 1 species